rnacentral:rRNA from 1 species
CCUACGGGAGGCAGCAGUGAGGAAUAUUGGUCAAUGGACGCAAGUCUGAACCAGCCAUGCCGCGUGCAGGAAGACGGCUCUAUGAGUUGUAAACUGCUUUUGUACGAGGGUAAACGCAGAUACGCGUAUCUGUCUGAAAGUAUCGUACGAAUAAGGAUCGGCUAACUCCGUGCCAGCAGCCGCGGUAAUACGGAGGAUUCAAGCGUUAUCCGGAUUUAUUGGGUUUAAAGGGUGCGUAGGCGGUCGGAUAAGUUAGAGGUGAAAUCCCGAGGCUCAACUUCGGAAUUGCCUCUGAUACUGUUCGUCUAGAGAGUAGUUGCGUUAGGCGGAAUGUAUGGUGUAGCGGUGAAAUGCUUAGAGAUCAUACAGAACACCGAUUGCGAAGGCAGCUUACCAAGCUACUUCUGACGUUGAGGCACGAAAGCGUGGGGAGCAAACAGGAUUAGAUACCCCUGUAGUC